rnacentral:lncRNA from 1 species
CAUAUCUGCAAAGCUGACACUUAGUUUCUGCUUUGAAACAAGGGAGUCAUAAGAACCCAAGAAGAGACCUGCUGGAUCAGUCCAAAGGCCUGUCUAAAUGUAAUCCAGCACCUGUUGCCACAGUAGCUAGCCUAUUGGAACCCCACAAGCAGCAUAUGAGCACAAUCAUACUCUCCCAUUCAUGUUCUUUAGAAACCAGUCUCUGAUGCUGGAGGUAAUAUAGAGCCAUCAUAAGUAGUAGCCAUUGACAGUCACAUUCUUCAUAAAUUUGUGUAAUUCCCUUUUAAAACUAUUCACGUUGGUGGUUAUCAUUACAUCAUGUGGCAACAAAUUCCAUGCACUUUGUGGACAAGUCCUUACUUUUGUUUGUCUCAAAAUUCCCACCGUUCAGCUUCAUUGGAUGACAUGAGGUUCUAGUAUGAUGAUAGAGGGAGAAAAAACUCUCUCCAUCAUCUUUCUUCACACUGUGAAUAAUUUUAUGUAUCUUUGUCUUUCCUUACUCAUCUUUUCCCUAAGCUGAAAAGCUCAAGGUGUAACCUUUCCUCAUAUGAGAGUUCUUCCAGCCUUCUGAUCAUUUUGCCUGUGCUUUUCUACACAGCUUGCAGCACUAAAAUAUCCUUUUGUUAGAUGCAGUGGCCAGACCAGACAGAAUUCCAAAUGCAAUUGCACCAUAUAUUUGUAAAACAGCAUUAUGAUAUUAGCAAUUUCAUUGAUUCAUUUGCUGGAGUUCAUUACGAAGGAAGUGUUCUCCUAAACUGCUUUGCAAACUGAUUAUCUUAAAUAAAGUAGAUGACAAUGCUAUACAAAAAGGUGAAUAAAAGCUGUGGACAAAUUUAGCCGGCUUCCAAUGUAUCUGAAAACUGUGUGUGCAUGUGUGUGUACAUGCAUGUAUAUGUGUAUAAAUCAAUGGAGGGUGAAGGACUCAAUUCUAGAAGUCCCUGAGCUCUGACAGAUUCUCAUUCUCUAAGAGAUAAGAGCACUAGGCAAUCGGCAGGAUCAGCCUCUAAACCUCCCAGUCAGAGCUGAAAAUGUUUGAUUAAAAUAAAUCUUCAAGGACAUUAUUUUCAUUUUAGAUGCUAUUUUUCACCUUCAGAAGUCUCUGGGAGCCUGAGAUCUUAUGCUUUGCUUUGAUAGCUUUUGUUGAUAAUCUGAGGAACACUAAAAAGCAAGCACUUUUUGAUCCUUAGGUUCACUGACUACCAGCAAGGGGAAAAGACUCAUAUAGACAAGAAAAGAAGAAUGACAAAAGAGGGACCCAACCAUCUCCUUUGUGAUCCAUCUACUUCCUGACACUCCCUAGGCCUUGCUAAGCAAAAGUGAGAUGAAGCAAGGCAGUUCUAGUUCUCUACUGAUUGAUAUACUUUCUCUCUGAAGAACUGAGUAAUUGUCCAACUAAAGAACAUCAUUCCUCAAAUGCAGCAUUACACUUGUCCAUGUUGUAAAAAUCCUAAACAUACGGUAAAUGUUAUGGGACAGCCCCUAAAACACAACUAGACAGGUAGAGGCAAAAAUCUAGAGGACUAACUCUGGGCAUUGGUUCACUUAAUGGGAAUAAUGUCUUUCUAGAUUAGCCCAGGGCUGAUCUAGCUUCAAUGUCUUGGGCAAUUUUAGAAAAUGGAACUGUUUCCCCCAAACUUGUCACAUUCUCCGUUUAUUCUGACACCAAUUAUUGGCCAAACUGGACCCCAUCAUGCCCCUGAUUAUGUCAUUAGUGCGACCCUUCCUCCAAGUGCAGGUAAGCCCUUAGUUGAGUCUUCCAUCCAACCUCCAUUUAGCUGCCAGCUCCAACAGCCAUGGGAGCAGUGAGAAGUCUCUUAGCCCUUGGCUGCACUGGCUCUUUGGAAAACUUAAUUUCUCAGGUCUGCUUGUGCCUGGCAGUUACACAGACGUGUGCUGGACACAAAGCCAGGAGAGAACUCCUACUUCUGCCACUGAUGUCUGCAGCCAGGUAAGUAGAUGGGAGGGAGGGAGGGAGGGAGGGAAGGGAAAGGAUGGUUUGAAUGUGAUUGUGAGAGCCUGGUUGGGUAGGAGGGGGUGAAGAAUUCUGAGGGUACCAAGCAAAAGUGUGCAACUAUUCUGACACUACUUUUUAUUGUUAUCCUAACAGAGACUUGUGAAAUUACCAUCAUCAUCAUCAUCAUCACCACCACCACAAAAUGAACACAUUUUCAUGCAGCUGGAAGUGCUUGUUAAAAAAAGAAAUAUCUUCUGUUGUUUCUGGAAAGUGCAGCUAGAGGGUGCCUGUCAUAACUCUAUCAUAUGCUGCUUAGACUUACUGUGGAGUGGGCUUCUGAUGUGGAGAAAGGUUUCCUGCAGAACAAUAUGACCAUUACUGUGUGUAUGAUAACAUAAGGGAUAGGGAGAAGGCAGUCUCUCAAGCUAUGUUAUGCUUAGACUUCACAAUUAAAUCUUCUUUC